AAUGUUGGGAAGGGUCUAAAAUAGAACUGACUGUUACUCCAGCCAAUGAAAAGUUGCUUUUGCAUACUGUUGUUGAGCUGAGAGAAGAAGGCUUGCAGCCUACUGCCCUUGAGGACUGAUGGAUAUCCAGAAGACUACAGAUAUAUACCAUUGCAAUGCUAGCGAAAAGCCAUGUGCUAUUCAACCAACUUUGCCUGGUUCUCCUGUGCAACAGAGAACUUUGAAGAAGCAGCUCAGUAGUUCUUCUCUCUCCGUUUCUAUGUCUCACAGAGGAUUGUCUCCAAAAUUCAAGGAUCUCCUAAAGAAAGACCAAGGAAUAGAAUCAAAGGGGGAGAAAAGUGAAUCAAAAGCAAGUGCCAACUAUGCUCCUAGCUCUCAACUUCCCAGGUAACUAUUCAGGAACUCUAAAGG